UAUAAGAGACAGACAUUAGACGAAUCAUCUGGAAAGAUGAAUCAAAGAAGGUAAUAAUCCUGUAGUCGAAAAUGUUGUCUCUCUUGAGUGGAUCCUGAGUACGACGGAGCACGUGAAAUUCCGUCGGAAUCUGGGAGGACCAUCUCCUAAGGCUAAAUACUCUCUAGUGACCGAUAGUGAACCAGUACCGUGAGGGAAAGGUGAAAAGCACCCCGGAAGGGGAGUGAAAUAGAACCUGAAACCGUGUGCUUACAAGUAGUCAGAGCCCGUUAAUGGGUGAUGGCGUGCCUUUUGUAGAAUGAACCGGCGAGUUACGAUUUGAUGCAAGGUUAAGCAGUAAAUGUGGAGCCGUAGCGAAAGCGAGUCUGAAUAGGGCGUUUAGUAUUUGGUCGUAGACCCGAAACCAGGUGAUCUACCCUUGGUCAGGUUGAAGUUCAGGUAACACUGAAUGGAGGACCGAACCGACUUACGUUGAAAAGUGAGCGGAUGAACUGAGGGUAGCGGAGAAAUUCCAAUCGAACCUGGAGAUAGCUGGUUCUCUCCGAAAUAGCUUUAGGGCUAGCCUCAAGUGAUGAUUAUUGGAGGUAGAGCACUGUUUGGACGAGGGGCCCCUCUCGGGUUACCGAAUUCAGACAAACUCCGAAUGCCAAUUAAUUUAACUUGGGAGUCAGAACAUGGGUGAUAAGGUCCGUGUUCGAAAGGGAAACAGCCCAGACCACCAGCUAAGGUCCCAAAAUAUAUGUUAAGUGGAAAAGGAUGUGGCGUUGCCCAGACAACUAGGAUGUUGGCUUAGAAGCAGCCAUCAUUUAAAGAGUGCGUAAUAGCUCACUAGUCGAGUGACACUGCGCCGAAAAUGUACCGGGGCUAAACAU
rnacentral:rRNA from 1 species